rnacentral:lncRNA from 1 species
CCUAUAUUAACUACCAUGUAUCAGAGAAAACAUAUAAUAUUUAUCUUUUUUUUCCCAGAAAAUUGUGAGUGCAUUAGGAUGACAGUGAGUGUGACUGCUCAUGGGAGCCUUUUGCUUCCUCAUUUUGUACAUAUCUGCAUCAGAGAAUCUACAGAGUAGAGAGAGACAGUCCUUUGUCUUGGCUGCUUAUGGAUUUAGGAAACCUGAUCUGAACCUCUGUACAGGCUAAACCAUUGUCUCACAAAAUACUCCAGAUGGAAGUGAAAAAGUUGUGUUUUAAAGGAAGGAUGAAAUGAGAAACAAAGUGAAAUAUUACAGUAUCCAUCUGGAAGAGAUAUGGAUGAGGGAAAGAAAACAUAAUUCUAUUAACUCUUUGGGAUUUUUAGAUUAUACUUCAUAUAGGAGGAGGGCAGUUGUCAGCUAUGGAGAAUCACCCAGCUAUAUUAACUAUGCCAGCAAUGUGGUACUCUGCAGUACCUGCUUUGCACAUCCAUUUGAAUCUAUUAACAUUAUGACUGCUAUUCAGAAAUGCUGA